GCGAAGUACAACCGGAGGAAGAACCAACAGGUUGGCCUCUCCUCCAAUCCUCCAUCACUCUCCAUCUCGCUACUAUCUAGAUCUACUCUAGUUUAGAGAAGAGAGGAGAGCUCUCAUCUCCAAACCCUAGCUUUUGCUCUUUCUAUGAAUAAUGAAUAGGGAUCAAGGGGGUGCCUCCUCUAGGGGCCAGGGGUCCUGCUUAUAUAGCCCUUCCAAAUGAAUGUGGGCCGUCGGAUCAAACUGACCUUAAUCGCACGGUUUUCCUUGAUCCUUUAAGUCAGUGGAGCAUAAUCCGCGAGACGGAGCCUGAUUGGCUCCUGUAGCAGGGCGGGCGCCCAAGGGGGGAGGGCGGGCACCCUAUCCUCGAGCCCGCUCGGCUUCCCGUUCGUUCCCGUGGCUUCUGGAGUCUUCUAGAUGAUAGAAAAUUAUGCGGCACGUUAAUAUCUCUAUGUAAACCUGACGUGUGGGCCAUUCCUCCAUAUUUCCUGAUAACCCCCUGCAGAAAUAGACAAACACCAAAACUCGUGGAAUUCUAUCAGAUAAAACCCUAAGUCUGGGUGUUGGUUGCAUUUGGAUCCUUUUCUUUAUUUAUUUGAUGAUUAAAUUUGAUACUUAAGGACCGUCAACAACUCCCCCAAGCUUUCCUCUUGCUCGUCCCUGAGCAAGGAUGGACUCAAGAGUUUCUUUAGUGGUUUCAUGCCUUAAAGGUACACAUGCGUUCAAACAAGAUCUCAUCUCUAGGUUAGGGUAAACAGUUAAGACUUACUCAUUUUACCUUUUACCAUGGGACUUGUAACCGUCACUUUUGUCUUGAGCAGUUAAAAGAUAGAACGGUCUAGUCAAGCGUCAUGUCUCUUAUUCUUGAUCAGCUAUAGCUCUGGAGUUUUUGUAGAUUUUCAAAAUAAAACUCAAAGAUUCCUUUGUAUGACUCUCUCUCAAAUCUCUCUUUUGUGGUAUUUCUGGAUCCUUACCAAGGCAGUGAUGAUAUAUGCCUUCUCUCAAAGUAUGUAGUAUUUGUGGUAUGAGACAUAGUGAUAUUGCCUUCUCUCUCAUCCUACUCUAAUGAGGCUUUGAUAUCUGGAGCUCAUAGGUGGGAGACAGCUAAUACAUACUUACAAGACAUUUAUUGCAUAGUCAAAUCAUGGAUCCAGAGAAACAAGUCAAUAAGUCAAAUCAAGAUGUGCAUGUGUGGCGAAUGAAUGGUGUAUGGUGAUGAUGGUGAAAACAAUGGUGAAAGUCUAAUUCUAUUUUUGCUCUUUUGAGGGGAUACAUACCUUUCUUGCACUUUGAAGCUUUUUGAGGGGAAUGAGAUGCUCUAUAUUUUCUUUUUCUUUUCUCUCAGGUGGGUAUCUUGUACCCCUAAUUCUACUGUCAGACACUUGUCUAUUUUUACCUCUCGUCUCACUUCUUUUUUUUCUCGAGGUUCCGGGCACUUGCCCCUUUUUAUUUCCUCGUAUUUUUCCUUUUUCUUCUCUUUCUUUUUUUAGAGCACUCACCCUCCUGGAAUAAUGUAGCAAGUGGUAGUAACCAAAAAAUCUCGAGCAUUUAUUUCACGGGGAAUAACAGGGAUAGGAUAAUGUUUUUGGCUAUUCUCUCUUUGAUAGGAGUAGAAUAAUUUUGGGUGAAUCUGGAGAGGGAAAUGAGUGGAUGUAUGUGGAUGCAUACUUCCGUAGUAGAAGCAACAUGUAUGAGUGAACGUGCAAGUGAAUCUUGAUUUUAACCGCAUAACAAGCUCCUAAGGGUCUACACAGCUUGACCACACUCAAUGCUCAUAAGUAGUAAAAAGUAAAUGUAUGGUUCAUAGUAUAAUAAGCAUGUUGAAAGGUCCAAAUGGCUAGUGGGGGGUGAAUAGCCUAUUUAAAAAUUCUACAAACUUCACUAAGCAAGUGAGUUAGUAAAACAAAAGGCGAAGCAAAUCUAGCACUAGCUCAACUAAGCUAUGCAAGCAACCUAUACAAACUAGUACAAGGUGUUGAUAUUUGGGAACGCAAUAAGGAAUUGAUCCGCAAGCGCACGGAUAUCGGUGAGCACUUCACCUGGGAAAUUAUCCAGAGUAUCGUAUUUAUUUUUUACCACUAGGAGAAAGAGUGCAUCUGACUAACCGGUCUAUUACUACUAACCCUUUAGGCAACAAAGAAUGUCUUUCGAUGUGAGUGAUAAAUAGAGAAGACUGCAACCGUAGUCUCCUUCUAACCUUGGUAAGGAUGAUCUACUGUUAUAUCGGGGAGGCUAACGGAAUCUAGACACCACAAAGGAUGUUCAACCCGCACCUAUAAACCCUAUCCUUCCUGCUAACGAGAUAUGGUCUGCAAAGGUAACUUGGAAUUGUCACGUUCCUCGCUACUACCACGGUCCAGCUAGUCAGGGAAUAUCUAUGAGUACCCCAGCCUAAACACCACGUUUAUGCCAGCAAUGAUUACUCUAAACUCUACGCGAAGAGAUUAAAGUAAACUCAUAAACCAAAAGAACAAUAAAACAAGAACUUACUAGAAUUUAGAAGUCGAAAUACUGAAGAAUCCUAGGAGGAAGCUUCGGGUUAGGAGAACUUGAUCCCGUAGGUACAAGCUUGGAGUAGACACCGACAGGCCGGGCUUCCUCCAAUCUACACCUCCACUCUAUCUCUCUCAAUCUAGUAGAAACUAGAAGAUCUAUUUCUACUUUACAUUGGUUGCUAAGCCUAAAAAGAAAUAUUAUUUAGAGAAGAGGUUUUCCUUCGAGGGCAACCCUCAAUCUCUAUGAUAAUUUCUUGUCUUCUCCAGGGGCUAGGGGGGUCUCCUUAUAUAGUCCUCCUCCUCUAUGCGUUUUUGGGUCGGUAGGCGAGUUGGUACUACGUUAUCUUUGAUCCAUUAGGUCGGUGGAACAUCGUGUGCGAAGAGAGUCCUCAUUGGCAUCCAACAGGGGGCGGGCGCCUAGGUCCUCAGGGCGGGCGCCCUGGGCCUAGCCCCUUUCGGCCUCUGCUUUCUUCUCGUGGCUUCUGGAGUCUGCUAGAUGGUAGAAAAUCACGCGGUGCGUUGAUAUCUCUAUGUAAUCCCGACAUGUGGGCCUUUCUUCCUUAUUUCCUGAUAACCCCCUACAGAAACAGAUAAAUAACAAAACUCAUGGAAUUCUGUCAGAUCAAACCCUAAUUCUAGGUGUUGGUUGCAUAUUGGUCCUUUCUCUUGUUUAUUUGAUAAUUAAAAUUGAUACUUAAGAACCGUCAACGAAUACCCCCAUACUUAGGCUUUUACUCGUCCUCGAGAAAAGGAUGGUUAAGAACAAUAUCUGGGGUAAAACAUUUUAAAACAUUCUUUUCAUAACUGCAGGGUGUUAAAAUCCACUGUAUACUGUAGUCAGGAAAUAUAUGGUUAAGAGUAGGGAUCCUUUCUUCUCAAUCCUGUCACUUGGAGUUUUUUGUAUAUUUUUGAAAGAAAGUUAGCAUACCUUUUAUCCUCAUAGGUUCUCUCAGAUCACUCAUUAUCUUUUAUAUAUCUCACUGAGGCUGUUUUAAUUUGCAAAAUUUCUCAAGCAUACUUACUUUGCAUUUAUCGCCUGAUCAAAACGGGAUCCGAGGAGGGGAAUGUCAUACUCUUAGAUCAAAGACUUUGGAAAUUAAAAUCUUGUCAACUCUUGCUGGCAUAUUGCUUAUUAGAGGGACCAUGGGCUAUCAUUUUUUCUCUCUUUUCUCUCUCUUCUUUUUUUUUAAGUGGAUACCGAGGUACCCCUAAUUCUACUGUCGGACACUUGUCCAUUUUUCUGCGAGGUUGUCGAGCACUUGCUCCUUUUUAUUUCCUCGAAAUAUCUCUAUUUUUGCAUAGCCCAUGCCUCUAAUGCAAUAAUACUUCGGAAGAGUGAAUCUUUCUGAAUAACGCCUUGAUCUUAGGAGCAUGAUAAAUCUCUCAACAAGGGUCUAACUCAUUUUGAACAAACUCAAUACAGAGUAGAUAGCUUUUAUAAUCAUAAUUAAUAUUUUCAGUUUUUAUCAAGCAUAUAAAACACUGAGGAUGGUAGCUAGAAUUUUGAAAUAAAUUCUCCAAGCAACAAUGACAUCAAGAAUAAGAAACUCAUACUCUACCAUCUCACAUUCCAUAUUGACUUAAGUAACAUAGGGUUUUAAAAUGAUUUUAUAUAAUAGUUGCAAGUUUUCAGGAAAUAUCACAGAGUGAGAUUAAUCAUUAUUAGAAACAUUUUAAGCUUUUUAAUUUAUCAUGUCGGAAACAAUAUUCUGCAUAAUCCAAGAUAUGUAAAGUGUAAAGUAAAGUGUGCAGAGUGUGUACCUGAAUCGUGGAGUGGUGUAGUCGGAGUGUGUUUGGCAUGUUGAGGUAUCUCCCCCAUACUUGUUUUCUGCUUUCUUGCACAAAAAUAAAGUAGAGACACACAAGACAUAAUAAUAAUAAUAAUACUCUUUAUUAAUCUUGAGGCAUUUAUUACAAAAGACUAGUAGCAAACUGAUAGCAAACUG
rnacentral:lncRNA from 1 species